rnacentral:rRNA from 1 species
UACGGAGGGUGCAAACGUUGCUCGGAAUCAUUGGGCGUAAAGCGCACGUAGGCGGUCCAGCAAGUCGGGUGUGAAAGCCCUCGGCUUAACCGAGGAAGUGCAUUCGAAACUACUGGACUUGAAUACUGGAGAGGAUCGCGGAAUUCCCGGUGUAGAGGUGAAAUUCGUAGAUAUCGGGAGGAACACCAGUGGCGAAGGCGGCGAUCUGGACAGUAACUGACGCUGAGACGCGAAAGCGUGGGGAGCAAACAGG